AUAACUGUAUAUUUUACCAUAGCCUCAAUUUCUACCAAGUUAUUGUGGAAAAUUAUCUCCGCUUGGAUUGAUUUCGCUUUAUUUACUUGUGUUAAUACAUUUGCAACCCGAAUAGACCCGAUACACGUGAGGGUCGAGAUUAAAGUUAAUGUGCUGACUGCUUUACACUUACACAUAUAGUUUACCUUAAGACUUAAUUGAAUGUGCUCUGGACACUCAUGAAUGGUCUUGAGGUAUUUACCUUUAUUGCUUUAUCUAUCUUGAAGUUGAAGUAGUUUGUCGAUGAAGGAAUCCCAAAGAAUAGGCUACUUAGAUCGGACACUUGACUGGGUACUCAUAAGAUGAAUUUUGUUUUCUUUCUAUAAAAUAUCUUGAUCUCUGUCAUUGAAUGUCAUAUCAUUUUUACCACUUCGAUUCCAAUUAAGUACAGAAUAUGUGUGACUUAAAUCGAGACAAGUUCCAUCAGAAUAUCAAGCAGUUUUCAUCAAUACUUAGGUGUCAAAAGUCUUGUACUAGAAAAGUUAAAAUCCUGCUGCUUUGGCUUUGGUAUCUAUUUAGAGGUAAACAUGAAAAUUAAAUCUAUGAAAAUUAUUUUGGUACUUUGGCGCUUUUUUUUUGGUGCUUCCUUUAGAUGAGUUUUGUUAUUUUCCUUAAAUACCUUUAUUUUUAAUUGAAUGUCCUUUUAUUUUUAUGGAACAUUUUCAAUUAAAUCUAGAUAAUUGUGCCGUCUUGAAAAUAUGUAUAUAAUCUAAUUUAAAGUCUGGAUAUUCUAUAGCCCUCUCAUUUGACUUCAAAAUAAAUAAAUGUUGUUGUUUACUUUGCACUUACAUAAAUAAAAUGAUAAUUUUCAAUAAAAUUAUAUUGUUAAUACAAUAUGACUGGCUUUAGGUGUUAAAAUAAAUUUACCCCUAAGUGAUUGCACAUUGAGGGCUGUGAACCAAAUAAUUUUUUAAGAAAUAACAAUUUCAAAACACAUUCUCAGCUUUCCUUAAUUUUAUUACUGUGCUAACUCUGCUUUGGGGAUAGUAUUUUUAAGAUUUUUGGCAUGUAAAAGAUUGGACAAUCAGUCCCAUUCAUGCAGCACACCUCAAGUCCACCACCCACCUGAAAAGAUGAUGCUCUUACCUUUCUUACCCCAAUCAGUGUUGUGAUAUGACAAUUACAAUACAAACCAAGAUUGUAUAUAUAUUUUAUCAUAUACAAAGUGUGCAGUGAAAUCAUUGUCAUACAUGUCAGAACACAGGGCCCAAACAAGUUGCAGAUCUCAGGUAUACCAGUCAACCCUGCGCGCAGGGUCUAGUUCAAUUAGAGAUAUCAUUUAUAUGUAUAGCUCUUCGAUUUUCAGUAUAAUGAUGUAAGAUAUGUCGAUGUUUUGCAAGCCGCAUACGACUUUUGCUUCGCUUCAGUUUUGCCUCGUAACUUGAAUUACACGACAUACCUGUUUAGAAAGGAACGUCUUGUUCGUCUCUCGCCAGACACUGUUUGGGAUAGGGAUACAUCCACCCUUAUGCUAAUACUAUAUACAUAUUCAUAUAAAUAAAUCCGCAUGCGGCGCAAAUUCUAUAGGCUUGAGGCGUCCUAAGAGUGAAUUUGUCUGCGAAUUUUGCUGGAAACUUACCAUUCGGUGCAAAUUCGGACUAAUUCUUGAAUUAGCUUUGAACCAAUUUAAAAAAAAAGAUCCUAUUAAAUUUUCUGAAGAAACACCAAAUACGUUUUUAACUGUCAUAAAGUGUUAACAUAAAUACUAGUACAUUGUUAACCGUAAUGCUAAUAAAAAGAAAUUGAAGAGCUUGGGCUUCCUGUGGAUAAACCUAAAUUCGUCUGUUAUUCAGACUAGCUAAUGGGGGAAAUCCCCUACAAACGUUUGUGAUUUGCAAUUCAAAUUUCCUACAUUUUUUUGUUUGUUCGUAUUUUGUGCAAAGCAUCAUUUGAUCUUCAACUACAGCCCUGAUGUAGUGUCGAAUUGUGCUUAAAGGCAAGUUGAACAAGGUGAAAUCAAGUUAAAACUUUCGGGAAAUGAACCUCUAUGUAUCAUUACACUCGAAAGCUUCAUACCAAGCAUUAUUGAACGAGGUUUCUAGGACGGCUCUUUACUCUGUUGUGCGCAGAUAUCUAUAACCAAAGCCUCUUGUAAAUGUGUCGUGACAUUUUCAUACAAGUAAUAAUCUAAUAGGAACUAUAUUGUAAUCCUAUUUUUUUGCUGAUAAAAGAAAACUAUAUAUAUUUAUAAAAAGAGAGAGAAAGCCUUAGUUUCUUAGAUUCUGCAAUAGGUAAUUUAUUCAUAAUGUAUCUCUUUCGUUAGGCGUGAAGCUUGCAAGUAACUUGUAGCGUGUUCCGCCAUUAAAAUUAGAGAUUGCUGUU